UACGUAGGGUGCGAGCGUUGUCCGGAAUUAUUGGGCGUAAAGAGCUUGUAGGCGGUUUGUCGCGUCUGCUGUGAAAAUCCGGGGCUCAACCCCGGACUUGCAGUGGGUACGGGCAGACUAGAGUGUGGUAGGGGAGACUGGAAUUCCUGGUGUAGCGGUGAAAUGCGCAGAUAUCAGGAGGAACACCGAUGGCGAAGGCAGGUCUCUGGGCCACUACUGACGCUGAGAAGCGGAAAGCAUGGGGAGCGAACAGG
rnacentral:rRNA from 1 species